ensembl:lncRNA
AGUGAAAGAGAUCUUUGGUUUUGCCUUUGCUGGUGACCUGCUGCAGAAAACCCUCUCCCUCUAUCAUUAACAAGCAAUUCAGUCUGUCCUAUCACUCUCCCUCUCCCUGCUCCAUCUUUUUUGACAAGCCAUUCUAUCUUCUAUCAUUUCUCCGCCAUGAGCUCUAUCUAAGUUGACAAACUUGAACCUGAGUUGAAACGCAAUCCUGUGACUUGAAAUCAAGUUUUACCAGAAUCUAAGUUUUUGGAAUUGAAGUUACCAGAACUUCGUCGAUCUGUUUUCAGAAUUCUGAGAGAUCUCCGCUCUCACUGCUCCAUCUUUCCUGUUGUUAAACUCUCUCACAUCCAGUCAUUUUGCUGGAAAUUACAAGUAAAACGUUGAAUAUACAGUAAUAGAAUUACACUACAGUAGAACUCACUGUAGAAACUACUUACAGAGCCCUACAUUUGUCAUUUUAAUUUUGCAUUACACUUCGAAAUAAACACUGAUAGUUUGGCUUGCAAGUGCAAUUUGAUAAAUUAUAUAAACUUAUAUACACCUUUUUUGAGAUAUUUGUACUAAGAUAAUCUGGUUAUUUUGUAAUUCAGACUCUUAUAUUCACAUAAAUAUUAAAUUUGAUUCAAAU